CAGUAGCCGCGGGAAUACAGAGGGUGCGAGCGUUAAUCGGAUUUACUUGGCGUAAAGCGUGCGUAGGCGGCUUUUUAAGUCGGAUGUGAAAUCCCUGAGCUUAACUUAGGAAUUGCAUUCGAUACUGGGAAGCUAGAGUAUGGGAGAGGAUGGUAGAAUUCCAGGUGUAGCGGUGAAAUGCGUAGAGAUCUGGAGGAAUACCGAUGGCGAAGGCAGCCAUCUGGCCUAAUACUGACGCUGAGGUACGAAAGCAUGGGGAGCAAACAGGAUUAGAUACCCCUGUAGUCCCUGUCUCUUAUAU
rnacentral:rRNA from 1 species